AUGCAUGUCUUCAUUUCUCCCCAGUUCGUCCUGCUCGCUGACAUCUUCCAAGAUGCGGAACCAUCACAAGAUCAUUCUCCUACUCCUGGGGCUGGGAGGCAAUGCAUCCUGGGUUCUCAGCUUGCUGCAGCAUCAACAUCAUUCUCAGAUCAUUCUCCUCUCUUGCUACCAAAUGCAGCAGCUCCAGAGUUCAAAAAACUUUUUGACGCGGAAUUCAGAUUGAGGAAGCAACUAAAACUGAAUGUGAUAGGCUUGGAGGCUAUAGCGAGAUCAAGGAAACGGCAAGCUUCCAGGAUCACAUGGCCAACACAAAUUACCGUCUCGUUCCUGCCACCCCCUGUAAUUUCCUUGCCCCGCCGUGGGCAUUUUGGUCAUUUCACGUGCAGGUUUAUAAAGGGCAGCCGCUCUGUGUUGAACCCUAGACGCCGCCUCCUCUCUCCUCCCCCGCGCGUCCUCUCCCCUUCCCUCCCACGCGCCUCCUCUCCUCCCACCCACAUCGCCGCCGCCGCCGCCCACCGGCUCGAACCGCGCCGUCGGCGGCCAGAUCCGCCGCAACAGAGCCCCCCUCCCAACGACGACGAGCAGCAGCGGAGGAAGGACGAGGAGCGCGACGGCGGCAGCGGCGGCGGGGAGCAGCAGCAGCAGGCCAAGGCGGCGCAACAGCAGGCCUUGGGCUUGAGCGACGUCGACGCCGCCAAGAUAAGCAGUAGAAGAGGAGAGUUCAUCCCCUCCUGGCCCGACACCGGCAGCCAUGGGGCUGCGCCUCCUCUCUGCCUCUGUCAACCCAUCACACGAUUGAUGUUUGUAGCCCUCCCAUGUUUAAAAGCAGAUGAGUUGGAGGUGUCGGAUGUGUCCACGGUGUUGGAUGUGCCUCAGGAUCUGAACGAACAACAGGCUAGGCAUACCACUCUCUUGUCCAGCGCCGUUCUUUGUUUCUAUAUUUCCUGCUACUCGAGCUGGCUCUCUCUCUCCGACGUCUCGGUUUGCAGGCCGCUGCGUGCUGAUGCAUUGAUCAACACCGGUCUGGCGAAACUGAGCUAUAAAUAUGUGAACAUCGAUGAUUGGUGGGCAGAAUUAAGGAGGGAUUACCAAGUAAGGAGAUACACCUGA
rnacentral:rRNA from 1 species